rnacentral:rRNA from 1 species
UAUUACAAUGAAGAGUUUGAUCCUGGCUCAGGAUGAACGCUAGCUACAGGCUUAACACAUGCAAGUCGAGGGGCAGCAUGGUCUUAGCUUGCUAAGGCCGAUGGCGACCGGCGCACGGGUGAGUAACACGUAUCCAACCUGCCGUCUACUCUUGGACAGCCUUCUGAAAGGAAGAUUAAUACAAGAUGGCAUCAUGAGUCCGCAUGUUCACAUGAUUAAAGGUAUUCCGGUAGACGAUGGGGAUGCGUUCCAUUAGAUAGUAGGCGGGGUAACGGCCCACCUAGUCUUCGAUGGAUAGGGGUUCUGAGAGGAAGGUCCCCCACAUUGGAACUGAGACACGGUCCAAACUCCUACGGGAGGCAGCAGUGAGGAAUAUUGGUCAAUGGGCGAGAGCCUGAACCAGCCAAGUAGCGUGAAGGAUGACUGCCCUAUGGGUUGUAAACUUCUUUUAUAAAGGAAUAAAGUCGGGUAUGCAUACCCGUUUGCAUGUACUUUAUGAAUAAGGAUCGGCUAACUCCGUGCCAGCAGCCGCGGUAAUACGGAGGAUCCGAGCGUUAUCCGGAUUUAUUGGGUUUAAAGGGAGCGUAGAUGGAUGUUUAAGUCAGUUGUGAAAGUUUGCGGCUCAACCGUAAAAUUGCAGUUGAUACUGGAUAUCUUGAGUGCAGUUGAGGCAGGCGGAAUUCGGGGGGGAGCGGUGAAAUGCUUAGAUAUCACGAAGAACUCCGAUUGCGAAGGCAGCCUGCUAAGCUGCAACUGACAUUGAGGCUCGAAAGUGUGGGUAUCAAACAGGAUUAGAUACCCUGGUAGUCCACACGGUAAACGAUGAAUACUCGCUGUUUGCGAUAUACGGCAAGCGGCCAAGCGAAAGCGUUAAGUAUUCCACCUGGGGAGUACGCCGGCAACGGUGAAACUCAAAGGAAUUGACGGGGGCCCGCACAAGCGGAGGAACAUGUGGUUUAAUUCGAUGAUACGCGAGGAACCUUACCCGGGCUUAAAUUGCAGAUGAAUUACGGUGAAAGCCGUAAGCCGCAAGGCAUCUGUGAAGGUGCUGCAUGGUUGUCGUCAGCUCGUGCCGUGAGGUGUCGGCUUAAGUGCCAUAACGAGCGCAACCCUUGUUGUCAGUUACUAACAGGUUCCGCUGAGGACUCUGACAAGACUGCCAUCGUAAGAUGUGAGGAAGGUGGGGAUGACGUCAAAUCAGCACGGCCCUUACGUCCGGGGCUACACACGUGUUACAAUGGGGGGUACAGAGGGCCGCUACCACGCGAGUGGAUGCCAAUCCCCAAAACCUCUCUCAGUUCGGACUGGAGUCUGCAACCCGACUCCACGAAGCUGGAUUCGCUAGUAAUCGCGCAUCAGCCACGGCGCGGUGAAUACGUUCCCGGGCCUUGUACACACCGCCCGUCAAGCCAUGGGAGCCGGGGGUACCUGAAGUGCGUAACCGCGAGGAGCGCCCUAGGGUAAAACUGGUGACUGGGGCUAAGUCGUAACAAGGUAGCCGUACCGGAAGGUGCGGCUGGAACACCUCCUUUCU